rnacentral:sRNA from 1 species
AUCUAGCCCUGAUUGCAGCGACAUCCUUUUUUGUGGUGGCCCAAGCAAAGUGAAAAAGAUACAGCGGAAAGCAGGUUCCCGG